GGGUAUCCAUGGUAUUUAGCUCUAAAGAUGGACAGCAGCCAACUGAAGAAGAGCAUCACCAGACCGAUCCCUGCUACACACAUGACUAGAGACAGAGGAGACAGAGAGGGGAAAAGGAGAGAGAGAGAGAGCAGAGGUCACGAUCAGAGCAUCACCAGACCGAUCCCUGCUACACACAUGACUAGAGACAGAGGAGACAGAGAGGGGGAAAGGAGAGAGAGAGCAGAGGUCACGAUCAGAGCAUCACCAGACCGAUCCCUGCUACACACAUGACUAGAGACAGAGGAGACAGAGAGGGGGAAAGGAGAGAGAGAGCAGAGGUCACGAUCAGAGCAUCACCAGACCGAUCCCUGCUACACACAUGACUAGAGACAGAGGAGACAGAGAGGGGGAAAGGAGAGAGAGAGAGCAGAGGUCACGAUCAGAGCAUCACCAGACCGAUCCCUGCUACACACAUGACUAGAGACAGAGGAGACAGAGAGGGGGAAAGGAGAGAGAG